UACAUGGGGUGCAAACGUUGCUCGGAAUUAUUGGGCGUAAAGCGCACGUAGGCGGUUCGUUAUGUCGGAUGUGAAAGCCCUAGGCUCAACUUAGGAAGUGCAUCCGAAACUGGCGAGCUGGAGUAUGGAAGAGGGUCGCGGAAUUCCCGGUGUAGAGGUGAAAUUCGUAGAUAUCGGGAGGAACACCGGUGGCGAAGGCGGCGACCUGGGCCAAUACUGACGCUGAGACGCGAAAGCGUGGGGAGCAAACAGG
rnacentral:rRNA from 1 species